rnacentral:lncRNA from 1 species
UAUUUCUAGAGCAACGCAGCGGGGCGCCCCGCCCUGCCCUUGUUUACUGCCGCCAUGCUGCCCUGAAAAUGUGCCCUCUUGCCUUUGAUCUUCUGCUAAAUCCCGCCAAUUUUCCUGUUGACAUGCCUCGACGAUUUUUUGAUCAGCAAAUUACGUCACAGUGAGUGCACACAGGUAAUGAGAAUCAAUGAAGUGUUAAAACUAAUUGAUAAAGUGUAUGGAUCCUGUGUAAUGUCAAAAAGGCGUUCGUAAGCGGCCAGCUGAUUACCGAGCACGUGAAAAGUGCCCUAGAUUUCUUUGUGCAAAAUUUAAAUUAGACCGUUGUUUAGUAUAAUAACAAGUAUAUAUCAAUACAGUUUGAUUCUACU